rnacentral:rRNA from 1 species
UACGAAGGGGGCUAGCGUUGUUCGGAAUUACUGGGCGUAAAGGGUGCGUAGGUGGUAAGGUAAGUCGGAUGUGAAAGCUCCGAGCUCAACUCGGAAAUGGCAUUGGAAACUACCUUGCUCGAGGGUUUGAGGGGGGACUGGAAUACUUGGUGUAGCAGUGAAAUGCGUAGAUAUCAAGUAGAACACCAGUGGCGAAGGCGAGUCCCUGGAAAACUCCUGACACUGAGGCACGAAAGCUAGGGGAGCAAACAGG